CUUCAGCCUGGGCAAUAAAAAAUAUACGUUAGUCAGGCUUCUCAGAACAGCUUGCAUCCGACAGGGAAAUAACCCCACUUGAAUACAAUAACCACCACCAAAAAAAAAGAAAAGAAAAAAAAAGAGUAGUAUUGCCACAUCUUAAGACUAAAUCGUUUCUUGAUUAUGUUUCCUGACAAGUAGAUAAGACUCACUUCCCAGUUUUAAUCCCUGCAGUUCUGCGACUCUGCCUGCAGAUCUCUUUUUCUCAGGUGUUUUGCAGAAUAGGUCCUCUCUGGGACAGCCCCUCAAAAAUAUUGGAAGACCGAUAUCGAGUCACCCCUAGUCCUUGAUAGGAUCGACAUGAAUCAGAUCACGUACCGCAGCAUCGUGAUGGAUGGACAAAAGAGGUGGAGCUUGUCCAACCAUUUGACACAACUGAAGGAUGGUUCAAGGCUAAUUCCAAAAUAGAUAAAGCUUUUGACGGAAUGUAAGCACACAAUAGGGCAUUCAUCUCCGAAAGGCAAAUAAAGGCCCUGCAACUGUACAUCAAGGAUCAGCAGGGAUCAGGCAA